rnacentral:lncRNA from 1 species
GGGAGACCCCACAGGAACCACAGCCCAGCUGGCCAGCCAGGGUCCUGGCAGGUGUCCUCGGUCCUGGACUCUCUCUCCACCUGGUGCCACAGAGCAGAGGCCUGACCCACGUGGGAAAGGGCGAGUGCCUAGUAAAGUGGGGGUGGCACGGGGGUGCUGCUGGCCAGUAGGCCCUUUUGGGUGUGGGGCCCCGGCCUGGCCCCUCAUCAUUGCCCGUCUUCUCCCAACUGAUGACCUUUGGACCAAACCUGAGCUUGUGAGUUUUAGGCCCCUGACAGCAGGGCUCUGCCAGCCGUCUGGCCUUCUUCACUGUCCACCUCUUACCACACACCAACUCACGUCCACCCCUUUCCUGUGCCAGGCCUCUCACAGUGUAGACAAUGGUUUCCCAGCCGAUGGCUCACAUCUUCCCUGUGUCAUAAGGCCACCCAGGUGCUCCUCCUUCAUAGCCCUUCCCAGGAUCAGCCUCCUCCAUUUCUGUUCUUCAAGGUCCUGCUCGGUGGUUGGCUGUGUGGCCAGAUCGAUGGGUGAAUGAAUGGAGGAUGGGUGGGUGGUGUGUCAAUGGAUGAUGGAUGGGAGAAUGGAUAGAUGGAGGAUGCAUGGAUAGAUGGGUGGAUGGCUGGAUUGAUGGGUAGAGGGUGGAGAAUGACAUUCCGAUGGGUGGUAUUGAGAAAGUGAGUGCGUGCAGAGAUGGAAGGAGAGGAGUAUUUAUGGAUGGGUAGACGGAAGAUGAUGGAUGGGUGGGUGGAGUGAUGGAGGGGUAGGUAAGUAGACAAGUGGGAAUGGAGUGUGGAUGAGGAGCUCACUGGGCAGGUGUACACGUGGCUCCCUGGAAGGCUGAAGGUGGGUCCUCUGUGGCAGAGGCGGGUCACACUCUGUGUGGCGGAUGGGAGGCUGAAAGGGUUCCUGGGCAGGUUCCUAGGAGUUUUUCCCUUGCAGCUGUCUCCCUGUGGCCUUGGGUGGCUCCCUUGCCCCUCCAGACCUUGGCUUCCUGUUUGUCUGCUGCAGGGUGGAGAUGUCCUGGCUUUGUGGAUGAAGGCAGUUGUACAAGGCUUUGCAAGAAAGCAAAGGGUGUGGUUUUUGCACGGGAGAGAAUGAUACUUCAAACAACGGGGCCACCUGUGGGGAGGUGCAGGGACAGCAGCAGGGGCAGCUGGUCCCUGGGCUGAGGCCACAGUACGCCCAGACAUUCUGAGAGGCGCCAGGGAAUGUGUGGUUCCAAAGCCUGGUAGACAGCCCCGCGCUGGCUCCACCUGGCCUCCUGUGGCCUCCUGGGUGGCCUGGGUUUACCCCAAGACACUCAUUCUGGUCUCCCUCCUUCAUCUGUAAACUGGACAGAGGGACAUCUGCUCCAGAGGGUGACUGUGCAAACUGGCUAGUGCUCAGCAAAGGACAGGUCUCUUUGGAGCUGUGAGCCCCCUGCAGCCCACAGUGCAGGUGAACCUGCAGCACAUGGGCAGACGGGUAUCCCUGUGCCAAGGAAAGGUACAGGCCUGGGCGCUGGGGACAGGAGACGCUGACACAUCGCCAGGGGAGGGUGCCUGAGGAGGGAGGACCUCGGAGGUCAGGAUGGCAGGGAGGAGGAUGCUGGGUGGAGUGACAGAACAGGGGCACUCGCAGCUUUCUGCAGGCAGAGUGGGCACCACCGUGGCCAUCGGAGCCAGCACCCCGUUGGAGGUGGGAAAGCAGCCCCAUGCCUGGGCAGACGCCACUGUGCAGCGCAGAAAUCAUUCCAGUUAAGCAGCUGCCCUCCCCUCUGCCCACAUCCUUGUGGCCCCAGGUGUGGAACCAAUGGGGAGGCCAGGUUUGAAUCCAGACCAGGGUAGAGUUGACAUGGAGGGCAGUUCACUCCCUGAGCCUAGGACCCUGCAGUUGGGGACAAGGCUUUCCACUGGCCUGGGUGAGCACUGGUCUUGACAGCUGCUUGUGGUGACUGUGAGACCAGGAGAAAGGACAGGUAGCUGAUUAGCAAAGAAGAAGAAUGGACAGAUCACACUGUGUGAGCGUGAGGGGGCACACACACACCCCCAUGGCUAACACCCUCCAGGGGAGGGGAAGGAUCACAGUUUGUAGCACAAGCACUCACCCCUGGACGGCUCUCCUCCUGCCCUUUUGGUCACCUAGGCAGGGUGGGAAGGACCUGAAAUCUAUAAAGGGGACAUCCCCACUCCCCGGGCACCAGCUC